GAGGAAAGAGGGAGGCGUGCUUAACACAUGCAAGUCGAACGGAAAGGCCCUGCUUUUGUGGGGUGCUCGAGUGGCGAACGGGUGAGUAACACGUGAGUAACCUGCCCUUGACUUUGGGAUAACUUCAGGAAACUGGGGCUAAUACCGGAUAGGAGCUCCUGCUGCAUGGUGGGGGUUGGAAAGUUUCGGCGGUUGGGGAUGGACUCGCGGCUUAUCAGCUUGUUGGUGGGGUAGUGGCUUACCAAGGCUUUGACGGGUAGCCGGCCUGAGAGGGUGACCGGCCACAUUGGGACUGAGAUACGGCCCAGACGCCUACGGGAGGCAGCAGUGGGGAAUAUUGCACAAUGGGCGGAAGCCUGAUGCAGCAACGCCGCGUGCGGGAUGACGGCCUUCGGGUUGUAAACCGCUUUCGCCUGUGACGAAGCGUGAGUGACGGUAAUGGGUAAAGAAGCACCGGCUAACUACGUG
rnacentral:rRNA from 1 species